UACGUAGGGAGCAAGCGUUGUCCGGAAUUAUUGGGCGUAAAGAGCUCGUAGGCGGCCUGUUGCGUCCGCUGUGAAAGCCCGGGGCUUAACCCCGGGUCGCAGUGGAUACGGGCAGGCUAGAGGUAGGUAGGGGAGAAUGGAAUUCCCGGUGUAGCGGUGAAAUUCGUAGAUAUUGGGAAGAACACCGGUGGCGAAGGCGGCGAGCUGGUCCAUUACUGACGCUGAGGCGCGACAGCGUGGGGGAGCAAACAGG
rnacentral:rRNA from 1 species